GAAUCCCAUGGACAGAGGAGCCUGGAGGCCUACAAGUCCAUGGGGUUGCAAAGAGGUGGACAUGACUUAACAACAAGAGAGAACUUAUACACAGGAGGAAUCUGGUGAUUAAUAGAUAUCAUUGAAGAGGACGUAUAAAAGUGCCGGCUCCAGGGCCCGUGUUCCAAGCUGCCCAUCCAGGUCUGACCUUCUGUGCUACUUAGAGAGCUGACUGUGGCUGCCAGGAGAAUGCAGUGAUCAAGAGGGAAUGAAGACUCUUACAGCUACCAUGACACAUUCUGCGUUAUUGGAUCUGAAGCUUACACCAUUUCAAGGAUUUUCCUUAAGAAAAAGAAUAUAAAAUUGGAUACAGGAGUUUCUAAUAAAGUUAAAUACUCCUACUCUGCAGUUUCAUUCAUAGGGAUAUACCCAAGAGAAAGUUAGCGUAUGUCCAUAAAAAGACAGUAAAAAGAAUAUUCAUAACAGCUUUACUCAUGAUAGACCCAAACUGGAAACAAUCCAAAUGCCCAUUAACAGCUGAAUGCAUAAACAGAAGAGAUCUAGCCGUACAAUGGAAUACUACCCAGCAGUAAAAGAAUUAGAAAUAACUACUGGUACGUGUACUGACAUGAAUGAAUUUGCAUACAUUCUGCUAAGCAAAAGAAGCCAGUCAAGUGAUUCCAUUUGCAAGCAUACCUCGUUUUAUCCACUUUGCUUUAUUGUGCUUUGCAAAUAGUGCAUUUUUCACACAUUAAAGGUUUGUGGUAACCCCCGGGGUCAAACAAGUCUUUUGGUGCCAUUUUUCACAGCCUUUGCUCAUUUUGUGUCUCUGUGACACUUUAAAAAUUCUUGCAAUAUUUCAAACUUUUUAAUUGUUUUAU